rnacentral:rRNA from 1 species
UACGUAGGGGGCAAGCGUUGUCCGGAAUCAUUGGGCGUAAAGAGCGUGUAGGCGGCUUGGUAAGUCCGCUGUGAAAGUCCAGGGCUCAACCCUGGAAAGCCGGUGGAAACUGUCAAGCUUGAGUCCGGAAGAGGCGAGUGGAAUUCCUGGUGUAGCGGUGAAAUGCGCAGAUAUUGGGAGGAACACCAGUGGCGAAGGCGGCUCACUGGACCGGUUCUGACGCUGAAGCGCGAAAGCGUGGGGAGCAAACGGG